UACGUAGGGGGCGAGCGUUGCUCGGAAUUACUGGGCGUAAAGGGAGCGUAGGCGGAUAGUUUAGUCAGAGGUGAAAGCCCAGGGCUCAACCUUGGAAUUGCCUUUGAUACUGGGACGCUUGAGUAUGGUAGAGGUUGGUGGAACUGCGAGUGUAGAGGUGAAAUUCGUAGAUAUUCGCAAGAACACCGGUGGCGAAGGCGGGUCUACUGGGCAGUAACUGACGCUGAGGUGCGAAAGCGUGGGGAGCAAACAGG
rnacentral:rRNA from 1 species